UUACUCUCAACACAAAACAUAGUGAAGGUAUCGGAAUAAAUCAAAGCAAAGCACAGUGAAUCUUUGACAUCGAGUACUGACUUCAAACUUCAAAACACGGCUCACUCUGUCGAGUUGAAAUUUGAACAAGCUUCAUAUAUAUAGUUUCUUGGCGUUGGUGAUAAUCAAGAGAAAAGAAUAAUGAUGAGUCCAUCAAUGAAGAAUAAGCCAUCACACUUUUGGUGGCUAGAAAGCCAUAUCAGAACUAAACGAUCUUCAUGGCUUCAAUCCACUCUCAAUGAGCUAAAUUAGAAGACAAAGGGAAUGUUAAAAUUAAUUGAAGAAGAUGCAGAUUCUUUUGCAAAACGUGCAGAGAUGUAUUACAAGAA